rnacentral:lncRNA from 1 species
CCGGGGAGGGGUUAACACCGAGGGGAGGAGGAGGCGCCGUUCCCGGAGGCGGCUGCUCCCUGCCCCAGCAGCGGCCCCCUGCCCCUCACCGCUCCCCCGGCCCCGCCGAGCCGCGGAGCCCGCCCAGCCCCGGGGCCAUGGCUGGCUCCUGGCGGCGGCCGGAGGAAGGGAGGGCGGGAGGAAGCCGCUGCAAGGGCCGCCUCCCUCUUUCUCUCCCUCCUUCCCGUCCCGUCCCGUUCCAUCCUGUCCCGUCCCGUCCCGUCCCGAUUCGCGGCGGGGGGGCGGCUGGCGGUGGUAUGGGCAGGGAACGGGAAGCUCUGAGGAAAUGUACUGUUAUCAAUGGGUAAUGAACAAAAUCUAUCAACGUGAGGAUCUGUCCUGUGGAGGAUCCCAGCUGUGUGGAAAGGACAUGAAAUUGUUUGAUUUUUCCUGUAAGAGAUGCAUGUAUAUUCAGUUACCAGAGCCAUCUACUGUUCAUCUCGAGUAA